GAUGUGGCGCAAUGGUAGUGUGACUGCCUGCAACGCAGAAAGAUCCGGGUUGGAUUCCCGGUGGGUCA